rnacentral:rRNA from 1 species
UACGUAGGGUCCGAGCGUUGUCCGGAAUUAUUGGGCGUAAAGAGCUCGUAGGCGGUUUGUCGCGUCUGCUGUGAAAUCCCGAGGCUCAACCUCGGGCCUGCAGUGGGUACGGGCAGACUGGAGUGCGGUAGGGGAGAAUGGAAUUCCUGGUGUAGCGGUGGAAUGCGCAGAUAUCAGGAGGAACACCGAUGGCGCAGGCAGUUCUCUGGGCCGUAACUGACGCUGAGGAGCGAAAGCGUGGGGAGCGAACAGG